UGAGUCAGCUGUUGAAAAUAGCACGUCUGACACCACCAGCUGUGGUAACAGGCACAUCACGCAGAAGCCAUCCUGUCUCUGCUCACAGCAACAUGAGGCCUUCUCCAGGGGAUCUGUGCAGUCUGGGCUCCCCAGGCUUGUUCAGGACAAACAGAAGGACUGCAUGGUAACUUACUGUGAGAGAGUCACCCAUGGCUCCAAUGACCUGGAUGUCAGCCGGCUUCAGCCAGUGAACUGAGAAUACAAGCAGGAAUGAAUGGAGUGAGGGGGUUCUAGGAAAGCACUGGAUCUGCCGCCUCUGAAAACAAACAUCUUCCAGGGAAACAGAGAGCAAGUCCAUUUUCAACAGCAAUGUGCCUUGGAUGAAAGAUAUGAACAGCCUGUGCUUGUCAAUACGACUCAGUCACACCAGCUACGGGGCCUGCCUGCUGUUCUUCUCUGUGGAGCACCUGAAUGCAGGGGCUGGGAGCUGGAAGGUGGAUGCUGUUUUAGGAGGGGAACUGUCUGCUUGCCUUUGGUGAGACCUGAUACUACAAGGGGAGCAGCAGCAAGCCUUUGGCAAGGUGAUUUGGGUGUAAGGAAGGAACUGUGGUGGAAAUGCAACCAAUACUUAAUUUAUUCUAGAAUCCGAUGACACUUGGGAUCAAAUAUUACCUCAUCCUAUGAAAAAUCAUCUCAGUUUCUCUGAAGUGAAAAGGUAAACGCUUUAAUACGACUGACUUUUUAAAUUGAGGUGAAAUUCACAUAACAUAAAAUUAACCAUUCUGAAGUGAACAAUUCAGUGGCAUUUAGUACUUCCAGUGUUCUGCAACCAUCACCUCUAUCUAGUUCCAAAAUAUGUUCAUUCUCCCAAAAGAAAGCCCUCUGCCUCUUAAGUAGUCAUCCCCACCUUCCCCUCCUCUCAGACCCUGGCAACCGGUUAUCUACUUUUUGUCUCUGGAUUUACCUAUUCUGGAUAUUUUAUAUAAAUAGAAAUAUACAUGA